GACGAACGCUGGCGGCGUGCCUAAUACAUGCAAGUAGAACGCUGAAGGAGGAGCUUGCUCUUCUGGAUGAGUUGCGAACGGGUGAGUAACGCGUAGGUAACCUGCCUGGUAGCGGGGGAUAACUAUUGGAAACGAUAGCUAAUACCGCAUAAGAGUAGAUGAUGCAUGACAUUUACUUAAAAGGUGCAAUUGCAUCACUACCAGAUGGACCUGCGUUGUAUUAGCUAGUUGGUGGGGUAACGGCUUACCAAGGCGACGAUACAUAGCCGACCUGAGAGGGUGAUCGGCCACACUGGGACUGAGACACGGCCCAGACUCCUACGGGAGGCAGCAGUAGGGAAUCUUCGGCAAUGGACGGAAGUCUGACCGAGCAACGCCGCGUGAGUGAAGAAGGUUUUCGGAUCGUAAAGCUCUGUUGUAAGAGAAGAACGAGUGUGAGAGUGGAAAGUUCACACUGUGACGGUAUCUUACCAGAAAGGUACGGCUAACUACGUG
rnacentral:rRNA from 1 species